CUUGGCCUCCCAAAGUGCUAGGAUUACAGGCAUGAGCCCCUGCGCCUGGCCUGCUAUGUGUAUAUUAAUGUGUGGUCUUGAUCUUGAACUGAGGCUCUGAAAGGGUAUGACAAAUACUGACGGCCAUCUGCCAACUACAGAGCUGUGAACUGUUCACUCAUUAACAGUUUAUAAACAACAAGAUAACAUCCUCCAACUUAUCUUCCUGCUCUAGCAGAGGUGGGCAGUGAGGAUAACUGUUCAGGUCCCCUCUUUGGAGGUCUGGUGUCAUGAGCAUGAGCCCUCCUGCAG
rnacentral:lncRNA from 10 species